CCUACGUGGGGCAGCAGUGAGGAAUAUUGGUCAAUGGGCGGGAGCCUGAACCAGCCAAGUCGCGUGAGGGAUGACGGCCCUAUGGGUUGUAAACCUCUUUUACCUGGGAGCAAAGUGCCGCACGUGUGCGGUUUGGAGAGUACCCGGAGAACAAGCAUCGGCUAACUCCGUGCCAGCAGCCGCGGUAAUACGGAGGAUGCGAGCGUUAUCCAGAUUUAUUGGGGUUAAAGGGGGCGUAGGCGGACGCUUAAGUCAGUGGUAAAAUUGCGGGGCUCAACCUCGUCGAGCAGUUGAAACUGGGUGCCUUGAGUGGGCGAGAGGUGCGCGGAAUGCGUGGUGUAGCGGUGAAAUGCAUAGAUAUCACGCAGAACUCCGAUUGCGAAGGAAGCGGACCGGAGCGCAACUGACGCUGAAGCACGAAGGCGUGGGUAUCGAACAGGAUUAGAUACCCUAGUAGUC
rnacentral:rRNA from 1 species